AUUGAACGCUGGCGGCAUGCCUUACACAUGCAAGUCGAACGGUAACAGGUCUUCGGAUGCUGACGAGUGGCGAACGGGUGAGUAAUACAUCGGAACGUGCCCAGUCGUGGGGGAUAACUACGCGAAAGCGUAGCUAAUACCGCAUACGAUCUAUGGCUGAAAGCGGGGGAUCGCAAGACCUCGCGCGAUUGGAGCGGCCCAUGGCAGAUUAGGGAGUUGGUGGGGUAAAGGCUCACCAAGCCGACGAUCUGUAGCUGGUCUGAGAGGACGACCAGCCACACUGGGACUGAGACACGGCCCAGACUCCUACGGGAGGCAGCAGUGGGGAAUUUUGGACAAUGGGCGCAAGCCUGAUCCAGCAAUGCCGCGUGCAGGAUGAAGGCCUUCGGGUUGUAAACUGCUUUUGUACGGAACGAAAAGGCUUUUUCUAAUACAGAGAGCUCAUGACAGUACCGUAAGAAUAAGCACCGGCUAACUACGUGCCAGCAGCCGCAGUAACAC
rnacentral:rRNA from 1 species